CUUCAGCUUUGGUGCAGUGGUAGCACAUCAGUCUCAUAAGCUGAAGGUCCUGAGUUCGAUCCUCAGUAAGGAGGG